GGCUGGAUGACGACAUGACACCAAGCCAGUCAGGAACAGGCAGAGAUAUGCAAACUAUGACACCAUUGGGCGGUGACAUCCUACUGUGCGGUGGAACUCAAUCGACUACUAGAUUAGACGAUAGACGACAUUAAUACUUAACAUGGCGGUCCCGAAUGAUCUUUCAGGGACCAUAGAACACGCUGUAAUAGCAGCAUUAAGGAGCUUCAAAGAAGCAAGUCUAUCACCUUCGACAUCCAGAGAGACUUCAACGCCAAUCUGACCAGAGGGAAACACAGGACACAUCUGUAAAGAGGACAUUGACAUCUCAAGAUCAAAGUUUGUGCCUUUGACAAAUGAUGAAUUGGAUUCUACAAUUUCAGAAAUUAAAGCACAGCAUCCUCACUUGGGAGAGGUGAUGCUUAAUGGCCAUCUGCAUUCAAGAGGCAUUGUGGUGCAGAGGGGCAGAUAUGUAUCAAAAUAGAGGGGAACCUGCAGUAUUAACAGGAAGCUCUGUACAUAAUCAGAGAAUUGAACGUUUCAACCGUGACCUCAACAGGAACUGCAGUCAUGUCUAUGCCCCAGUUUUUUAUGAACUGGAGAUGAUGCAUGUGCUGGAUGUAGAAAACAAAACAGACUUAUUUGCGCUUCAUUGUGUGUAUGUUAUGUUCCUAGAAUAAACCGAACAUUGGAAGAGUUCAAAGAAGGAUUUAACAACCAUUCCAUUUCGUCAGAGGGAAACAAGACUCCUCUUCAGCUUUACACAUUAGACAGACACCUGCUUUACCUUCAUCACCCUGAAUCUGCCUUUGAGAAGAACAGUGACAGUGGACGGAGCAGAGUGGAUCCACCACAAUCAUUUUUACCACAACAUGAUUCCUUUUGUCUGAGUAGACCAGAUUUAAAGGAGCUUUUGGACACGAUAAACCCUCUUGAAAAUGAUAACAACAAUGGAAAAACCAUCUUUCAGAGAGUACAGCAAUUUAUAUUUCAUAAAAAUGUAAACAAGUAAUUUUGUCUUUGAAAAUUCAGUGUUUUGGGUUGAAAAUAUUUAACUUAUAUUAAAUAUUUAAGGUUUGUGAAUAACAAGUUAACAUUUUCUUCCUGUGACUUAAUUGCAUAGUACCGAAUACAGCUCAGCUCAAUAGAGCAUUUAGUUCAUUAAAUGUAUACUCUAAAAGUUUGUCAGUUGUUUGCAUUGCAGUGGUUGAAUACAUUUUAAAACAUUCUUUCAUGUUAAAGUUGAUUCCACUGUGCUAAACAGUUCUUGGGAACAUAGUGCUGAAACAGCAAUCAAUCAAUACUUUUUACAUUAAUAAUAAAAAAAAAAAAAAAAUCCCA
ensembl:lncRNA